UUCCGGGAAAAAUACUCUUUUAUAAUAACAAAAUACACAUUUCAAUAAUACACAAUUAUAAUAAAAAAACUAAUUCCAUGAUGCCAGUAAACAUCCUACUUUGUAGAAGUAAGAUACUGUAAAUAUAUUGUAUUGAGUAACAGUGUAUAAAUGGAUCAAACAAUGAUUAUAUCCGGUCACAUUGGCCUCAGUUCUUUGAGACAGACUGCAUGAUGAACUUAAAUAUUAAGCUAAAGCAUAAAAAUGUUGCCCGUACGCAACGAGACACCUGAAUCGGUUCAGUCCUGUGAAAAUGCAAACGUAAUCCUUCACAUAGUCGAGCAUUAUACUGGCACUUAGACGGUGGUGGACUGGUCUGCUCCCAUUCUGUCCCGACACUCACCUGCAUCUCAACAUCUGUCCAAAAAUAUAUAUCUCUAAAAACGUCCCAAUUUGAGGAUCACACAUCAUAAAAAUAAAUCCUACUUUAAACAGGAGGUAAUUUGAGGUCAUGGCACUGAGGUCAAAGUUCGAGUUGUGGAUUGUGUCGUUUCCACCAACGCAGCUUAAGUCUGGACAGUUGGUCCAAAAGAGGGUUUUGACCUUUAGAAUGCAGCGGAAACGAGCUUAAAUCAGCAUCCAAUCAGGGGGCACACUGGGGCACAGUGUAGCAACAGACAGUGUUACAACCAGCCAUGUAACACCAGUCAGUGUAACACCAGUCAGUGUAACACCAGCCAGUGUAACACCAGUCAGUGUAACAACAUACAUGCAAACAACCAGCCAGU